rnacentral:lncRNA from 1 species
AACCCCUAAUGUGAUUAUUCCAUGUUAUAUGAUUCAAUUGAGUCAUAUAAGAACGCUUUCCUUUAUUACGCUCGAUACUUCGGCCGAAGAUUCCCGAAUCAUAUCUUAGAGUAUUCAUCCUCUCAUAACGAGGAUUAGAGAUUCCUUGUUGAACAUUCACUUGCCUUCAUGACUAAGUGGCUUAACCCCAACUAUGCCGUGGACACCCGCGGAUGGAGUGACUUUUGAAGGAUUUAUUUUGAAAAACAUGUUCAUUUGAGCAACAUCAUAUAACAUGCAAUUAACAAUUAAAGGCGGAAUCAUGCUUGCAUGCACUCAAAAACAAAACAUUACCAUGAAAUUCAAAGCCUAGUAGAUUGAUGAACCAAUUAUCAACUCAAAACAAAGUGAGUUGAAAUUAUUACCUUUGUAGAUUCCUCUUUGCAUAAGCAAAGGCUAAUCA